UACGUAGGGUGCGGGCGUUAAUCGGAAUUACUGGGCGUAAAGCGUGCGCAGGCGGUUUGCUAAGACCGAUGUGAAAUCCCCGGGCUUAACCUGGGAACUGCAUUGGUGACUGGCAGGCUAGAGUAUGGCAGAGGGGGGUAGAAUUCCACGUGUAGCAGUGAAAUGCGUAGAGAUGUGGAGGAAUACCGAUGGCGAAGGCAGCCCCCUGGGCCAAUACUGACGCUCAUGCACGAAAGCGUGGGGAGCAAACAGG
rnacentral:rRNA from 1 species